rnacentral:rRNA from 1 species
CCGGCACGGGUGAGUAACACGUAUCCAACCUGCCGUCUACUCUUGGACAGCCUUCUGAAAGGAAGAUUAAUACAAGAUGGCAUCAUGAGUUCACAUGUUCACAUGAUUAAAGGUAUUCCGGUAGACGAUGGGGAUGCGUUCCAUUGGAUAGUAGGCGGGGUAACGGCCCACCUAGUCUUCGAUGGAUAGGGGUUCUGAGAGGAAGGUCCCCCACAUUGGAACUGAGACACGGUCCAA